rnacentral:rRNA from 1 species
UACGGAGGGUGCAAGCGUUAUCCGGAUUCACUGGGUUUAAAGGGUGCGUAGGUGGGCAGUUAAGUCAGUGGUGAAAUCUCCGAGCUUAACUCGGAAACUGCCAUUGAUACUAUCUGUCUUGAAUAUCCUGGAGGUGAGCGGAAUAUGUCAUGUAGCGGUGAAAUGCUUAGAUAUGACAUAGAACACCAAUUGCGAAGGCAGCUCACUACGGGAUUAUUGACACUGAGGCACGAAAGCGUGGGGAUCAAACAGG